rnacentral:rRNA from 1 species
CCUACGGGGGGCAGCAGUGAGGAAUAUUGGUCAAUGGACGAGAGUCUGAACCAGCCAAGUAGCGUGAAGGAUGACUGCCCUAUGGGUUGUAAACUUCUUUUAUAUGGGAAUAAAACGUUCCACGUGUGGGAUUUUGUAUGUCCCAUAUGAAUAAGGAUCGGCUAACUCCGUGCCAGCAGCCGCGGUAAUACGGAGGAUCCGAGCGUUAUCCGGAUUUAUUGGGUUUAAAGGGAGCGUAGGUGGAUUGUUAAGUCAGUUGUGAAAGUUUGCGGCUCAACCGUAAAAUUGCAGUUGAAACUGGCAGUCUUGAGUACAGUAGAGGUGGGCGGAAUUCGUGGUGUAGCGGUGAAAUGCUUAGAUAUCACGAAGAACUCCGAUUGCGAAGGCAGUUCACUGGACUGCAACUGACACUGAGGCUCGAAAGUGUGGGUAUCAAACAGGAUUAGAUACCCUGGUAGUC